rnacentral:rRNA from 1 species
GCUGGCGGUGCGCCUUAUGCAUGCAAGUCGAGCGAAGCUUUUCAGUAGUUUACUACAGAAAAUGACUGAGCGGCGAACGGGUGAGUAACGCGUGAGCAAUCUACCUUAGUUACAGGGAUAGCCCGAGGAAACUCGGAUUAAUACCUGAUAUUCUUUACAUUUCGCAUGAAAUUAAAAGGAAAGGUCAGCCGAACUAAGAUGAGCUCGCGUUCUAUCAGCUAGUUGGUGAGGUAAAAGCUCACCAAGGCUACGACGGAUAGCUGGUCUGAGAGGACGAUCAGCCACACUGGGACUGAGACACGGCCCAGACUCCUACGGGAGGCUGCAGCAGGGAAUAUUGUGCAAUGAACGAAAGUUUGACACAGCGACACCGCGUGUGGGAUGACGGAUCUAGGUUUGUAAACCACUUUCAGGAGGGAAGAAAAUGACGGUACCUCCACAAGAAGCCCCGGCCAACUACGUGCCAGCAGCCGCGGUAAUACGUAGGGGGCGAGCGUUGUCCGGAUUUAUUGGGCGUAAAGAGCUCGUAGGCGGUUCAACAAGUCGGUCGUGAAAGUUCAGGGCUCAACCCUGAAAUGUCGAUCGAUACUGUUGUGACUAGGAUACGGUAGAGGUGAGUGGAAUUCCGAGUGUAGCGGUGAAAUGCGUAGAUAUUCGGAGGAACACCAAUUGCGAAGGCAGCUCACUGGGCCGCUAUCGACGCUGAGGAGCGAAAGCUAGGGGAGCAAACAGGAUUAGAUACCCUGGUAGUCCUAGCUGUAAACGAUGGAUACUAGACGUAGGAACUGGAUUGACGGUUUCUGUGUCGCAGCUAACGCGUUAAGUAUCCCGCCUGGGGAGUACGGU